rnacentral:rRNA from 1 species
GAUGAACGCUGGCGGCGUGCUUAACACAUGCAAGUCGAACGAUGAACCUCACUUGUGGGGGGAUUAGUGGCGAACGGGUGAGUAACACGUGAGUAACCUGCCCUUGACUCUGGGAUAAGC